CCUACGGGGUGCAGCAGUGGGGAAUAUUGCACAAUGGGGGAAACCCUGAUGCAGCGACGCCGCGUGAGUGAAGAAGUAAUUCGUUACGUAAAGCUCUAUCAGCAGGGAAGAAAAUGACGGUACCUGAGUAAGAAGCCCCGGCUAACUACGUGCCAGCAGCCGCGGUAAUACGUAGGGGGCAAGCGUUAUCCGGAUUUACUGGGUGUAAAGGGAGCGUAGACGGUGCGCCAAGUCUGGAGUGAAAUGCCGCAGCUUAACUGCGGAACUGCUUUGGAAACUGGCAGGCUGGAGUGCCGGAGAGGCAGGCGGGAUUCCUAGUGUAGCGGUGAAAUGCGUAGAUAUUAGGAGGAACACCAGUGGCGAAGGCGGCCUGCUGGACGGUGACUGACGCUGAGGCUCGAAAGCGUGGGGAGCAAACAGGAUUAGAUACCCUGGUAGUC
rnacentral:rRNA from 1 species